rnacentral:rRNA from 1 species
UAGCAAGGAGGUCACACCUGUUUCCAUGCCGAACACAGAAGUUAAGCUCCUUAGCGUCGAUGGUAGUCGAACUUACGUUCCGCUAGAGUAGAAC